ensembl:snRNA U6 U6 spliceosomal RNA
AUAUUCCCUUCAGCAGCACGUAUAGUUAAAUUGGUACCACAUGGAGAUUAACAAGGUCCCUGCGCAGGUAUGAUAUACAAGUUUGUGAAGCAUUCCAUAUUAAA